CCAUUUGUCAAUACUGGUGCUGGAAGGGACCACGCUGGAGUUUAUGUAAAAAGUCUAUUAUGAGUGUCAAUUUUGUAUAUUAUAUUAUAUCACAUUGAACAGUACUUGGAUGUUCAUAAACAUUAGGCUUGUAUAUUGUACAAAAGGAUUAUUACUUGCCAAUCGGUUCAAUGUAUGUGAUUUAAAUCUAACCUAUUUGCCUAUAUACUCAGUUUGUUUUCAGUAAUAAAACUAAUUAUUUGUCCCUCUUAUCAUCUUAUGUAACAUUCUCCUUGUUGACUGAUGAUUUACUGAAUAUGAUCUUCACCUAAAAAAGUGUUGAUGAUGUCUCUGAUAGUCAUUCCUGUAAAAAGAGAUCAAAGGGUAAGUUUUUUAGACAAUUACAUAUUGGGGCAUAGAUGCAGUAAUAUUGAAACAGCCGUGAAUAUCGAAGGGAAUGCCAAAAUGUGGCAUAUUCAUUCAGUUACACAUCCUGGUUUUUCAAACAGCUAAAGUUUCAAGGCAUUGAUAGUUACAGAUCAGCAAUCAUUGACAUCAUUCAUGGGCAGUUAAAGUAUUGAAAUCAGAAAGGAAAGGGCAUGACAUGUUACUGAGCUUAAAAAGAAAAACUCAGAAGGCUUUUCACAUCAACAACCAGCUAUAAAAGGGCCAUAUAUCACAUACAAAAUAGGGACAGCCGCAAGAAAAUCAGAGAGAUUACACAUACAGGGUGACACACCAUAGUUACAGAGCAUUCAGAAUACACAUACACAACAAAUACCCAAAAGAGAGUGAUAUACAUUCAUAUAUCCACACAUAUCAUACAAAUCAGAGGGCACAACACAGAAUUUGUAUCUGCUCUCUAUCACACGCAUAGAGAGAAGAGAAAAGCACACAGCUAUCAGUCCUCAUACACUGACCUCACACACAUAACCGAGGACGAUUCCGGAAGCAUAUCUCACAUACACGAGAAAGGGAUAGGUUGCUGAUCAAGAACAUAGAGAUAAAGGCAAGGUUAUACACAGCAGGAAUACUGUGAGGUAAGAAGGUGUUUUUUAUUUGGUGAUCAAUCUGUCUUUUGAACUUAGACGAUAAAUUUAUAAACAAUUUUGCUUAGCCAUACAGAAUUACAUACAUCCCAUUCCCACCCAAUUGAUUUCGCAGAGACACAUAUACUGUCAUUUAACCAAAAGUAACUAAUGCUCUGUAACUACUUUAAAGCAAUGAAAUUUGUUUCUGGAUGAACAUUCAUACCAAUUGGUUUUUUUUCUCAUCAAAUUUCUAAUUACUUCACACUAUGACAAAUACGUAAAGUUAGAUUGGAAGAGGGAUAGGGUUCUUUACCAAAAUCCUUUGCCAAUAACCAACCGNN
rnacentral:lncRNA from 1 species